GUCCAGGUGGCAGAUUCCGGAUUAAUGCAGAAGACCUAAGCCCUUCUUACAGGGGUUCAACUCCCCUCCUAGACU
rnacentral:tRNA from 1 species